rnacentral:lncRNA from 1 species
AUUAAAUUAUCAAACCUCAGGUACUUCAAAAAUCCCAGCCAAGAACAGAAGGGAAUCAGGUGCUCCUGACUUCCUUUAUUGCUAAAUGCAAGUGGGGGAAAAAAAGAAAAAAAAAGAAAAAAGAAAAAGAGGAAAAAAAAAUAAUUAAAAAAGAAAAGAAAAAAAAUAGAAAAAAAAAAAAAAAAAAAGGAAAAAAAUAGUUAAUAGUUUUAAUUCUUCAUUUUCAGAAUUCAUUAGAAACAUAAGAACUAGUUCUGGGAUACGCCCACUCUCUGUGUCAUUUACUGCUACAACCCUUAUCUCCCAAUCUUAAUUAAAGAAUUGCUGUGAAAAUAUUUGUUGUGUUUCUGUCUCUAAUUAAUGCUACCUCUCUGCACAUGAGGCUUAACCCAAUACUGAAGCAAACAGAAGUACUCUUAGGCAGAAACUACACAAGAAAUUUGGAGGGGCAUUUUGCAUUUUAACUUGGUGAAAACACCACAACUCAACUGGAAUAAAAUUGAACUGUGACAUAUAUGAAAAUCCUAAAAGAAGUUAUAUUUUAUACUCUCAGAAGUAAAAAAAAAAAAUCUAUUCAGUGAGGCUUGAAUCAGACAUUCACAUGCAGAAGAGUUUACACAGAUGUUAAAUAAUAAAUGCACUGUUGUACCUCAAGAAAAUAUACAAUAACUACUGAUAUUUAUGACAUCAUUCCAACUGCAGGUGUUAUCAAGACAACUUGUCAGCAGUCUGCUCCAUGGACAGGUGAGGGAAGAAGUCUGCUGAUGUGAAGACAGCACUUGCUCUAAAAUAGAAAUGAUAUAUAAAUAGUUGUACUGUGAGACACAGCUUGAGUUCAGUGGCUCACAUGCACGUGACUGUAUUAAAAUGUUUCAGAAAAAAAUUAUAGCAUAUUACACCUUUAAGCUUCUAAAAUUUUCCCAAGUGCUAAAAUCUUAAAUAGGUGAGAUUAGCAUUUUUAAUUUUGCCAUAUACAUGUAUAUAAUUGCAUGUCUACCUCUUGGCAUAUAUAGCCAAUCAGCAUUUAAAGCUGUAAUUUCCCCUGAGAGGUAUUAUACUUAGAAACUGCAGAAAUAAAGGGUGGUCAGCACAUCA